ensembl:lncRNA
UCAGGUGUCCUGGGUGAGAAGGUGUGCACAGUGUGGCUGAGCGUUUCAGUCAUCUCUUCCUCUGAAAUGAACUUUCACCUCAAAAUUGGGUGUUUCCGUUUUGAGAGUAUAAAUGCAGAGAGAGAGAGAGAGAGUUUCACUUCUUGUUUCCUAAUAAAAGGAGCUCAUAAUUUGUCUUUUUCAGAUGGUCAGAGAAAAGCUGCAUGAUUCGGGUUAGACUGAUAGGAAGGAAAUAUACAGUAGGAUGCAGAACACACAGGUAAUAUAUUAAGACAACAGUUAAAAGAGAUAGAUGGAUAUUCGAGGUAAUGGGGAAGAACUGUCAGUUCCACAGAAGGAAGUUAGCAAACAUGAUGAUUUAAUGUAGGAAGUAAUGAGAUAAAAUUAAUAAGUCUAACUAAACCAAAAACUGCCAAACAAAGAAAAUCCACUGAUUGAAAAGUAUUUUCCCACAGACAAAGGCUGAAGAGUCACUGUGACACCAUCUGGUUUCCAUGAACAACUUCCUUUUCCAUCUAAGCAAAUAGCAGAGUUAAGACGACACCCAAAUAUCGGUGCUUUGGAAUUGGUGGUGCAGCGUUAUUACCACUAGUGGGUGGGCAACAUGGUGCAAAGGAACUUGUAAUCCCGUGACAGGAGAGCUGGGUACAGUGGUUCUUGUGAAUAGCAACCACAGGAGUAGAGAAACUUCAGUUAUACGUAAUUGAUGAAAUUGCUUAUUAAACUCGUAAAACCUGAAUGAAAUCCUGAUAGAACGCAGACUAAAUACAUUUAGCAAAUACUUGCUUGAAUUCUCUUCAGCACUUCGGUUUGGCCACAUUCACAUCCUUACUCCGUUAUUUGCAAGCAUUUGAGAGCCCACAGCUUUGCUCAGAUUAAUAACCUGCGGCCAGCAGCUCCUCCUUACCGCUAGGAAAUGUGCAGGUCUCUAUGAACAGCUGACGUUUGUUCAUUAGUGACUGAUCAGCUCACAUUCUCCCCAUAGGCUGAAACUGUUUCCAAUGGUAUUUGAUGUUUCUUUGCCAAUCUAUUCCACGAAUGCCUGCCAUGGAACGAACGAUGAGAGCCGCCUCACGUCCCGCACGGCACCGCCCGUCCCUCCGAACGAACACAACUCCGCGUGGGGCAGCCGAGCCCCGCCGCCCGCUGCGCUUUAAGGGGAGCGGGGAGAUCC